UACGAAGGGGGCUAGCGUUGCUCGGAAUCACUGGGCGUAAAGGGUGCGUAGGCGGGUUUUUAAGUCAGAGGUGAAAUCCUGGAGCUCAACUCCAGAACUGCCUUCGAUACUGAGAGUCUCGAGUCCGAGAGAGGUGAGUGGAACUGCGAGUGUAGAGGUGAAAUUCGUAGAUAUUCGCAAGAACACCAGUGGCGAAGGCGGCUCACUGGCUCGGUACUGACGCUGAGGCACGAAAGCGUGGGGAGCAAACAGG
rnacentral:rRNA from 1 species